UGGGGUGUAGCCAAGAGGUAAGGCAAGGGACUUUGACUCCCUCAUGCGCGAGUUCGAACCUCGCCACCCCAGCCA
rnacentral:tRNA from 1 species